rnacentral:rRNA from 1 species
UACGUAGGGGGCUAGCGUUAUCCGGAAUUACUGGGCGUAAAGGGUGCGUAGGCGGUCUUUCAAGCCAGAAGUGAAAGGCUACGGCUCAACCGUGGUAAGCUUUUGGAACUGUAAGACUUGAGUGCAGGAGAGGAGAGUGGAAUUCCUAGUGUAGCGGUGAAAUGCGUAGAUAUUAGGAGGAACACCAGUAGCGAAGGCGGCUCUCUGGACUGUAACUGACGCUGAGGCACGAAAGCGUGGGGAGCAAACAGGAUUAGAUACCCUGGUAGUCCCU